rnacentral:tRNA from 1 species
AGUUGGGUGACUGAAAUGAAAGUGUUAACCUUUUAAGUUUAUUAUAGUAGCCGCCUACUUCCAACAG